rnacentral:rRNA from 1 species
ACGAAGGGUGCUAGCGUUGUUCGGAAUCACUGGGCGUAAAGGGUACGUAGGCGGCUUAGUAAGUUGGUUGUGAAAGCCCCGAGCUCAACUCGGGAACUGCGACCAAAACUGCUUCGCUAGAGUUUAGAGGGGGAUGGCGGAAUUCCUAGUGUAGGGGUGAAAUCCGUAGAUAUUAGGAGGAAUAUCGGUGGCGAAGGCGGCCAUCUACUCUAACACUGACGCUAAGGUACGAAAGCGUGGGGAGCAAACAGG